GAGCUGGACAGAAGUUUGUAUUACAGGCUCGUAGCACCGGAGGUUUCUGAUGGAGCAGACAACUUGAGGAAGGCCGGCCUUGCUGAACACAGUGGACUGACCGGGUCUGGACCCCUCCCCCACAGGUGACUGUGCACUGCAGCAGAGAGAAGAGGAAGGAGUCAGAAACACUCUACUGAGGACACACCAGGGUCUGUGAGUCAUGCGAAGGGGUUGCUAAGGCAGGGCAAGGCGAGAAUUUCACAACUGGCUUCCUCUGCAUCCUCCUCUUGGCUGGAUUUAGAUUCUGUAAGUGGAAAGCAAAUCAAACUUCUCUCCUUCCCAAGGCACUGUGCUCUCCCUGGAAUACCAGAAAGCUAUUGGAAAUGUUCUCAAGAAACACUGGAUAUGAGAAAGACCUCAUAAUCUGUGACUAAAUGAAACAGUGUGAAGAGAUGUCUAUAACAUGAUUUCAGUACAGAGGGAUACAAAAUGAUACUCACGGUAUGUGAGUCUGUCAAACACAUGUUUGCUUACAUGUGCCUAGGGAAACAAAUGAUAUAGAUCAAAAUAUUAACAUUGGCUAUUGCCUGUUUACAAAUUAUGGGGAUUACCUUUCUUCUUAAUAGCCCAUUGCUUUUAAAAUGGGUAUUACUAGAAAAUGUAUUACCUUUUAAUUAUUUUAUAUAUGUAUCCUAAAAAAGUAUUUUUUCAUACUUUGUUAAUUAGCAUGGACCUACAGAUAGGCCUUUCAGACAUAAGAAUUUCUUCAUUUUCUGUAUCUUUGCUCUGUCUCUGAUUCUAAGCCUUAUUAUGCUUAGUGGGAUGGAACCAGUAGGAAGUCUCACUGUCACCAGGUGCUCUGAAUAAUAGGAAAUGAGAGACCAACAUUCAUGCUGUGGUUUCAGGAACUUAUUUUGGGCACUUGUUCUUCCUCCCAAAUGAGCAAGUGUGACAAUGGUUUAACCCCCAAAUAUGUGACAUUGUUCACAUCUAAAUAAAACGCCUUCCUUCUACUCACCCAGUAGAUGGUUGCUGUUGUUCCUUCCUUGCAAGGGUUGUCUCAGAUUUAAUCCAUUCCUCUAGUGAGAGAACCUUUGCUGACCUUACCCCUGAGGGGAUAUCCAUGUUUCAGAUAGACAUCUUAAGUUUGCCAUGUAUGCGUCCUCACUUGCCUUGACCCUAGCUUUUAUAACUUCCAAAUGGAAGGUUAAUAAUGACAGAAAAGCCAAGACUGGCGGAAACUAAAAGCUGAAAAUUAAACAUAUAUAUAUAAUAUAAAUAUGCUUCUAUUUGUAAAUAAUUCAAUAUAUUUUAUAUGUUUUUCCCAUAAGUUUUAGAUGUGUAACUUUUGAGCCUUGGUUGUGGUUGAUUUGAGCUUUGUGAGAGUUGAUUCCUUACCACAUAGGAAAACCCUUAACUAAUGCCAUAAUAUUUGCUUUUAUGGUGAUGGUUCUCAUAAAAGACAGUUCUUGGGUGGCUUAUUUAAACCAUAUUAUGUUAAAGACGCCUGGAGUGAAAGAACCUGUUUUAAGAGAGACAGACUUUGGAGACAGAAUGAGAAAAUCAUCUACCUCCACCACAGGAGACGGAGCACUCUGACUGCACGAUACUCCAGGUAUAGGCAGGUCUUUUUGUGGCUGGUGGAGUUCCAUUCAUGACCUUGGGAAGUGCAUACUUCCAAGCUAUCCCUGGAUUUUUGCCUUGCAUCAGAAUCUGGACAGUGUAAGAUAAAAAUCAGAGAUCAAGAUACAGGUCAGACCCUGGAAUUCCAGAAAUCUUACUGAACAUUUUAAAGAUAUUUACAUGACAUUUUGACCUUAACAUUGGUAUACUUCAUUGUUCCCAAGUAUGUUUUAUGUUGACUUAAAGCUUUCCCAGGACACUUUAAAAUGUGUCCCUUCAUGUUAUCAAAACUGUGAUUUAGGUAGAUGCUAAAGAGCAAAACACGAUUGACAUUUGCCAUAAGCCCAUAACGUAUACACAAACACAUACAUACACACACACACUCACACACAUAUAUGUAUCAUAAAGAAGAAAGAAAGGUUAUACUGUUGGGUCUAAACCCUAACUUAAAAACCUAGCAUGGUGAACACACAUAGUCGUACCCUACAGAAAAUAGUUAAAACUGAAUCUACAUAUAUAUAUUUUUAUGAUCUAUCCUAGGUCACAAUUUACAAGCUCUCUCCUGGGUGCUAGUGGAAGUUGAAACAAGGGAAACACUCCAAAACCCACAGAAUACCCCCACUUAGAGUUGCUAUCAUCAACUUCAGAAUCCAAAUGUGUUUCCAAUAUACUUUCCAUAGAAAAUUUUCCCAAAGAGAAUUUGUUAACUGUGUGCUAGGAUGAGCAGAUAAGAAGAAAAGAAACAUGUUCAGAAUCAGCAAUUGGAAUACAUGCAUUAGAAUAGACUUAACCUCCAAAAAGGCAACAACUUAGGAUAAAUCUGAUCCCAUAAAGUCUGACUACUAAAAUAAGAGCAAUCACAUAUUGGGCACUUCCCAAGUGCCAAGCACUCUGCAGCCAUUCUUAAUGCAUCAUAAAACAUUCUUCUAACAACUCUAUAAUGUAGCUGCCUAUAUUUUCAUUGAAAAAAAAAAAAACUGGAGAGAAAGAACUUGUGCAAGAUCACACAAGUGACUAGGGACUGAGCUUAAGUAAAGCCACCAACCAAAAUGUGCCUACACAAUGCAAUGUAUCACCUUGUUUUUGAUGUAGGAAAAGCAUCUGUCUGCCUUCUUAAUGCCCUCUUAACUACUCCUCUUUCUUCUUUUUUCUUUUCCAAGCUGAAAGCAUGAAUAUAAAUAGCUGGUUCUUUCCCACUCCAUGAAUCUUGUGGAAAAUUCUUUACCACUAGAACUGGGCAUUCAUGCCCAAGAGGCAAAGCUGAUUGCCAGUUAAAAAAUAGGAACCCCUGGCUCUGUCUCCCUCGGGUGGGAUCCCACCUCCAUUAGAGUUUGGUGGGUGGCAGCUGUUCAAGGCCCUUCAUUUCACCAGAUCACUCUUUAGGAUGGUACAAAAUGACUUCUAUUUUGCUACUGGCUUAAAUGUCUCCAGGAGUAUUAUGACUAACUCUUAAGAUUCCAUGGUGUACACAUCAGUUUGUAGAGCAACAAAACAAAUCUCGAUGCCUCCUAGAAAUAAUCAAAUGUUAAUAGAUGGAUCUGUGUUCCCCCAUCCAAAACCAAAUCAAUACAAAACACAACAGGUAGUACCAUUACAUGAACAAAUGCCCAGUUAUCAGUUGCCAAUAAAAAAAAAUCUUGAAAUCAAA